rnacentral:rRNA from 1 species
UGAGGAAUAUUGGGCAAUGCCCGCAAGGGUGACCCAGCAACGCCGCGUGGAGGAUGAAUGUCGUAAGAUUGUAAACUCCUGUUAGAGGGGAAGAAUAGUACCGGUUGGACCGGUAUAUGACUGUACCCUCAGAUAAAGCCCCGGCUAACUACGUGCCAGCAGCCGCGGUAAUACGUAGGGGGCAAGCGUUGUCCGGAUUUACUGGGUGUAAAGGGCGCGCAGGCGGGAUAAAAAGUCAGUGGUGAAAUCCUACAGCUUAACUGUAGAACUGCCUUUGAUACUUUUAUUCUUGAGUUCGGGAGAGAGAGACGGAAUUCCAGGUGUAGUGGUGAAAUACGUAGAUAUCUGGAAGAACACCAGUUGCGAAGGCGGUCUCUUGGUCCGACACUGACGCUGAGGCGCGAAAGCGUGGGGAGCAAACA